CAUUUCAGAAAGCACUAUAUUUGAACAACCCACUGCUAUAGUACCAACUAAGACAGUAGAACAAGACUAACUGGAAGAAAUUCAAGAACAAGACAAGCUAAUGGAAGAAAUUCUUCCAUUUUCUCAUUGAUAGCCAAAGAAGAUGAGUAAAAUUAGAGUCAGAAAAAUAUAAAUUUGGGAUCAAAUAAUCUUCCUUUGGAUUUUCCUGCUUUGGCUUGUUGCAGUUGCGUGGAACCAAAAUUGGAUGCUUCCUAGACAAAUACAAUGAAAGGAAUAUGGAACAUUUUCCAACUGUGGCUCAAAACAGAGACUGAGAUUUGACAACAAAAGAAGGAUCAGACAGAUGUGAUGUUGCUGGUUUUGAAGACUCAAGAAGAGCCAUGAGCCAAGGAAUGAGUGCAACACCUAAAAGCUGAAAACGGCAAGGAGCCGGAUUCUCCCCGGAGCCUCCAGAAAUGAUCACAGCCCUACUGACUCCUAAAUUUAGCUCACGAAGACCUUUGUUAGAUGUCUGAUGUUCACAAUUACAUGAAAACAAAUUUGUGUUUGCUAAGCCACCAAGAGUACAGUAAUUUGUUACAUCAGCAGUGAAAACCAAUAGAUUUAUCUUACUUUAUUUUUACAGCUUGUGAUAUAAUUUACCAUUUCUUUCUUGAAUUGAUCUCCCAUAUUUAUUUUAUAUUUCCAUAGGUUAUUAAGAAACAGAUGGUGUUUGGUUAUAUAAGUAACUUCUUUAGUGGUGAUUUGUGAGAUUUCGGUGCAUCCAUCACCCAAGAAGUAUACACUGCACCCUAUUUGUAGUUGUUUUUUUUCUCCCACCCUCCGAGAUAGGGUCCCACUCUGUCACCCAGGCUGGAAUGCAGUGGCGCAUCUCUGCUCACUGCAACCUCUGGCUCCUGGGCUCAAACAAUUCUCCUGCCUCAGCCUCCAGAGUAGCUGGGAUUACAGGCACCUACUGCCACACUUGGCUAAUUUUUGUAUUUUUGGUAGAGAUGGGGUUUCACCAUGUUGGCCACGCUGGUUUUGAACUCCUGACCUCAAAUGAUCCUCCCACCUCGGCUUUCCAUAGUGCUGGGAUUACAGGUGUGAGCCACCACGCCCGGCCCUAUUUGUAGUCUUUUAUCCUUCACCCCCUUCCUAACCCUUCUGCCUGAGUCCCCAAAGUCCAUUGUGUUAUUCUUAUGCCUUUGCAUCCUCAUAGUUUAGCUCCCAUUUAUGAGUGAGAGCAUAUGAUGUUUGCUUUUCAAUUCCUGAGUUACUUCACUUAAAAUAGUCUCCGAUCUCAGCCAGGUCACUGCAAAUUCCAUUAAUUCAUUGCUUUUUUUUGUGGCUGAGUAGUAUUCCAUCGUGUGUGUGUGUGUGUGUGUGUGUGUGUGUGUGUAUACACCACAGUUUAUCCACUCAUUGAUUGAUGGGCAUUUGGGUUAGUUCCACGUUUUUGCAAUUAUGCACUGUGCUGCUAUAAACAUGCCCAUGCAAGUAUCUUUUUCAUAUAAUGACUUAUUUUCCUCAGUAGUGGGAUUGCUGGAUCAAAUGGUACUUCUACUUUUAGUUCUUUAAGGAAUUUCCACACUGUUUUCUAUAGUGGUUGUACUAGUUUACAUUCCCACCAGCAGUAUAGAAGUGUUCCCUGUCUACUGUAUCCAUGCCAACAUCUACUAUUUUGUGAUUUUUUGAUUAUGGCCAUUCUUUCAGGAGUAAGGUCGUAUCACAUUGUGGUUUUGAUUUGCAUUUCCCUGAUCAUUAGCAAUGUUGCGCAUUUUUUUCAUGUUUGUUGUCCAUUUGUAUAUCUUCUUCUGAGAAUUGUCUAUUCACGUCCUUAGCCCACUUUUUGAUGGAAUUGCUUGUUCCAUGUUAGAGUUCAUUGUAGAUUGUGGAUAUUAGUUCUUUGUCAGAUGUACAGCUUGUGAAGACUUUUCCCCCACUGUGUAGUUGUCUGUUUACUCUGCUGACUGCUCCUUUUGCCAUGCAAAAGCUCUUUAGUUUAAGUCCCAGCUAUUUAUCUUUGUUUUUAUUGCAUUUGCUUUUGGGUUCUUGGUCAUGAAAUUCUUGUCUAAGCCAAUGUCUAGAAGGCUUUUUUCCAAAGUUAUCUUCUAGAACUUUUAUAGUUUCAGAUUUUAGAUUUAAGUCCUUAGUCCAACUUGAGCUGAUUUUUUAAGGUGAGAGAUGAGGAUCCAGUUUCAUUUUCCUACAUGUAGUUAGCCAAUUACCCCAGCACCAUUGUUGAAAAGGGUGUCCUUUUCCCAUUUGUUUUUGUUUGCCUUGUUGAAGACCAGUUGGGUGUAAGUAUUUAGGUUUAUUUCCAGGUUCUCCACUCUGUUCCAUUGGCCUAUGUGCCUAUUUUUAUACCAGUACCAUGCUGUUUUGUUGACUAUGGCCUCAUAAUACAGUUUGAAAUCAGGUAAUGUGAUUUUGCUUAGUCUUGCUUUGGCUAUGCGGGCUCAUUUUUUGGUUCCCUAUGAAUGUUAGAAUUGUUUUUUCUAAUUCUGUGAAGAAUGAUGGUGGUAUUUUGAUGUGAAUUGCAUUGAAUUUGUAGAUUGCUUUUGGCAGUAUGGUCAUUUUCACAAUAUUGAUUCUAUCUAUGAACAUAGGAUGUGUUUCCUUUUGUUUGUUUUGUCUAUGAUUUCUUUCAGUAGUGUUUUCUAGCUUUCAUUGUAGAGGUCUUUCACUUCCUUAGGUAUAUUCCUAAUUUUUUUUUUUUUGCGGCUAUUGUAAAAGGGGUUGAGUUCUUGAUUUGAUUCUCAGCCUUGUCUCUGUUAGUAUAUAGAAGAACUACUGAUUUAUGUACAUUAAUCUUGUAUCCAGAAACUUUGUUGAAUUCCUUUAUCAGUUCUAGGAGCUUUCCGGAGGAGUCUUUAGGGUUUUCUAGGUAAACAAUCAUGUGAUCAACAAACAGUGACAGUUUGAUUUCCUCUUUACUAUUUGGAUGCCCUCUAUUUUUUUUUUCUUUUCUGAUUGCUCUGGCUAGGACUUCUAGUACUAUGUUGAAGAGGAGUGGUGAGAGUGGGCAUCCUUGUUUUGUUCCAGUCCUCAGAGUGAAUGCUUCCAACUUUUUCCCAUUCAGUAUUAUGUUGGCUGUGGGUCUGUCAUAGAUGGCUUUUAUUAUAUUGAGGUACAUCUCUUGUAUGCCAAUUGUGCUGAGAGUUUUAACCAUAAAGGGAUGCUGGAUUUUGUAGAAUUGUUUUUCUGCAUCUAUUGAGAUAAUCAUACGAUGCUUGUUUUUAAUACUGUUUAUGUGGUGUAUCACAUUUCUUUUUUUUUUUAAGAGGAAAAUCUUUUUUAUGGUAUAAUAAAACAAGGCCAAACAAAAAAAGCUCAAUAACUAUUUAUCUCUGCAGAUAAAACAUGUAGACAGAUGCAGCUGCCUCGACUGGCUCAGGUUCUAAGAGGAGGGCAUUAGGACACCUUGCCCUCCACAAUAACAAGUGGUUUCAUUCUAAAAGAUCCCCAGAUGAAAGCAGGAGGAUUCCAAGGAAGGGUGAGAUGAAAGAAGUCCUAUGACCUGAACGAACUCUUAACAGCACCUUAAAUUAUGGAGACCUCAUCUUUUGGUCCCAGUUUUCCAGGUCUGACCCUUCAGUGUCCAGAUAACCACCAACACCUGCCUGGUGGGGACACGUGGGCAGCAACAUGGAGCGACAGUGCGCAGCAUGCUACACACUGGAGGGCAGACACUGGAUAACAGUCUUUAGGCUCAGCCUGUCACACAAGUGCAUGCUCAGAGCUC
rnacentral:lncRNA from 1 species